UAGAGGCAUGGCGGUCACAACAUGCUCCUCACGACGGCACUUACAGUGGAGACAGAUCUUCCUAAACGGCAAAGAAACCAACUGUCAACACCAGGGCAGCUGUACAGCUCAACAGCUGAUUGCCGAGGAAUGCUUACGUCUCUUUUUUCUGGUGAGACCUCAGGAUGAGAUAACCAAAUUCCAUCCAGGGAAUGAGGAAACAAGGUUACAACCGAGACUGGGCUUGAAAUUAAAUUUGGACUUUCGUUAACUAUUUACAAUCUGGCUAAGAGAGGAAAGGAGAGACAGCAGGCUGUGUAAAACAUUAAGCUAUCCAAUGCUGCGCUGGGACACUGAGCAGUGUGACCUUGUGAAUUGGCUGGCUAUUUCUGCCUCACUUCUUCCACUUUGAAAGGGCUCUUCACUGUACGGAAGUACUGCUGUGCCGCAUCCAUCAAUGCAUCAGAUUAAAGGGAGGACAGCAGCUGCAGAGCACCAUGGGAAGUUUUCUAAGCCAUCCACAUGCCUUUUUCUGACUCAGCCCUGAAGCACAUUUGCAUUGACGGUAUAAGAAAGUAUUUUACCUUACUGAAGAGUUACA